UCUGGCUGCCAUGUGGGACUCAGAGGAUAUGUCUUGUAGAAUCAGAGAAAGCCCAAGAGGGAAAUUCUUUCUUCUGCCUGACUCUGAUCAUAGCAGGCAUCAAAAAUCACCUGUCUGUGCAGGGUCCUUGGAAGACACACUCCUGCUCUCAAACAUUGCUGCAGAGCCUGCCUGGAAGCUCAGGCAAUGAAGGCUCCUCAAAGAUUCAGGCACUCCUGAAGGAGUUGAUCGGGUUAAAUCAGAACAGUUGGAAGAAGAGUGUCCACAAAGAGAGGGAUCAAGACCAGACCUCAAAUUCACACCCUCUCUUAAUCAGAAUGAAUUGGCAAGCAUGGACAAUUGUCCUGUUCCACAGAGGAAAAAAACAGGAGUAUAUAGAUGAGAAUCUGAUACAAAGGUAGGGGCCUCCCAAGCACUACUCUUUCUUCUAAGCAUGUAACAGCUGGAUGAAUAUUAGUUUCUCCUGUCAGCUGCUUGUCUUAUGCAAUGUACUUUGUUCUUUCACAUUUAUGGUGAAUGUUUUCCCCCUUGUGCAAGCAUCAGCUUUCUCUUUAUCAUUCUUUCACCAGUCCUGCUUCUUCAGACAACUGAAUGUGUACAAACAGCCACUUCCUUAUGAUAUAACGCUUCCAAUUUUCACAUAAUCACCUUGCCGUCAAUUACCUGCAUCAAAUCAGUCCAUUCAAGCAAAUGAGAACUCAUUGCAGUUAUGUCAGUCAGGUUGUUUUCAAGAAUCCAAGGGACCUCUGGAUCUCAGUGUACAAACUGUCACUUCCUCUGUCAGUCAAUCAAUGAAAAUCAGAACAAAAAUAAUGGUGACACUGAAUAAUUCAGUGAUACACUCUGACAAUAUCUGCUAAACUCCUGUCAACAUAGCCUACCUUGCUGUUUCUGGAGCUGGCCUUACAGUCACAUGGACUAUUAUUAGUCUGGUUUUUGGACAGUUAACACUUUUUGCAAGAACAGGACAGAAUAAAUUGGUAUUUUUAUCAUCAUGAUGUUACAACUAUAGGGAUAAAAUCCCAACCAAAACAGUUUUGUCACAGUUAUAGGCAAGGGGAUGUGAGGAUGAUCAGCUCUCCCAGGUCAGCCUUGUCUUUGCUGCUUGGGUUUGUGCCCAUCUCCUCCUCUGCCACACUCCCAAUACAAUGUGAGAGCACACUUAUGAAGCACCAGGGAGUUACAUAAUUUAUGACCCAAAUGAAAACAUCCAGGGAUGGCACAGAAGUGGGUGGUUGAAGACACUUUGCCAAAAGAUUCAGUCAGUCUUCAGACAAGAGAAGUAAACCAUAAAUCCGAGUGAAGUAAAGACACACAGCGGCUUUGGUGUUAAUAUAAGUGGAGCUACAACUGUGGCUCUUUAAUGUGAACAAAUGAAGCACUUCCUUGGCUGUUUUGGGUUUUGUAUGUAGAAUCUCUUUAGCUCAAGACAGAGAAGAACAAGAGGUGGUUGUUUCAUGUUUGAGCUUUCUACAAAUUGGAUAAAAGAUCUAACGUAGUAUAAAUAGUAAAAAGUGAGUAACCUGAGCUAACAGGCAAAAGACAAUGCUAAACAAAUUCAAAAAGUCAGUCUUAUCACAGUAUCUCAGCUCUAAAAUAAUUUAUGUACAACUGUAAUGGACAUGUAAUCAUGCAAAGCAUUUAAAUCAAGACUGAACAACUUAAAAAAUAAAAACUGCUGUAGAUUCAACAGUUAAAAAUACUAUAUUGAAAAAUUAAGAUGGGGUAUUGUCCUUCAAUUACAAUGCAAGAUUUAACCAAAAGUAUGUAUUCUAUUACCAGCUGUUAAAACCAGCUGGGCAGUAUUCUU